CUUAGCUCACAUGGCAUUCCGCCCCCUCCCCAUCCAAAAGGUCUCGGGCUCAACUCCUACCGACUGCAACCGAGGAAGAAAAAAAUGGUAAGUAUGUGAGGAGCGUGUGGGUGUGUGUGUUGUACCUAGGAUUGGGGGUUGUCCAAUCAAUUUGAGGUACCUAGGAUUGGAGGUUGUCCAAUCCACCCGACCAAAAAAAAAAAAAAAAAAAAAAGAGUGUAAAAAGAAGGAAUGGGAGGCCAUUUUUCUC
rnacentral:lncRNA from 1 species